AUACUAAAAUUCGGCAGCACAUAUACUAAAAUUGGAAUGAUACAGAGAAGAUUAGCAUGGCCCCUGCGCAAGGAUGAUGCAAAUAAUUUUUUAAUUAUUUAAUUUAUA